rnacentral:rRNA from 1 species
CUAAGUAGACCGCCUGGGGAGUACGGCCGCAAGGUUAAAACUCAAAUGAAUUGACGGGGGCCCGCACAAGCGGUGGAGCAUGUGGUUUAAUUCGACGCAACGCGAAGAACCUUACCUGGCCUUGACAUGCAGAGAACUUUCCAGAGAUGGAUUGGUGCCUUCGGGAACUCUGACACAGGUGCUGCAUGGCCGUCGUCAGCUCGUGUCGUGAGAUGUUGGGUUAAGUCCCGUAACGAGCGCAACCCCUAUCCCUAGUUGCUAGCAGUUCGGCUGAGAACUCUAGGGAGACUGCCGGUGACAAACCGGAGGAAGGUGGGGAUGACGUCAGGUCAUCAUGGCCCUUACGGCCAGGGCUACACACGUGCUACAAUGGUGCGUACAGAGGGCUGCAAACCCGCGAGGGGGAGCUAAUCUCACAAAACGCAUCGUAGUCCGGAUCGGAGUCUGCAACUCGACUCCGUGAAGUCGGAAUCGCUAGUAAUCGCGAAUCAGAAUGUCGCGGUGAAUACGUUCCCGGGCCUUGUACACACCGCCCGUCACACCAUGGGAGUGGAUUGCACCAGAAGUGGUUAGUCUAACCUUCGGGAGGA